AUGUGUACCGAAUUUCAAAAUCUUCUUUCCCAUGUUUACUUUUGGUGAAGCUUCUCUCCUCCCAUCUUUCCAUCUUUCUUGCUUUCCUUCUAUUCUUUGUCUCCCUCUUUCUCUUUCUUCUCUGUCUUCUGCCCUCCGUGACGACUCUGGAUCUCUAGCUACUUAGCUAGCAGUUGGGGAGGUGUAUAAGUGGUUCAUGGAUAUUGAUCUCUUGUGGGCUGUCGGGGGGUGGCUUCUUAUUCCUGAUUGCAUGGCAACAUUGAAAACCUCAUCGAAAAUCUCCGAAAGCUCUUCAAAAUCCCAAAACCCUUUCCUUCUCUUUCUUGGCCUCAUUUUCAUCUUCCUCGUUCUCGUACACUCCUCUGAUCCCUCCAUUAGUCCAUCUCUGGAAUCAACUCAAACUCUUGUCCCUCAUUCUUCACCAUCAUCAGCCUCAUCGCCAUCACCACCAUCAUCUGCUAUGAAACUGCACUCCAGAAGGAGCAAAACUAUGCACACACCAUCAUCAUCAUCAUCUUCUGCUUCUAGGGAGUUUGAAGCUGGUGAACAUGAAGUUCCAAGCGGACCAAACCCCAUAUCAAAUUGAAAAGGGUUUCCUUCGUUUUUCAUGAGGAGGGGUAAAGGGAAGAAGAACACGGGAUCUUGAACAAAGGUUGGUUCAGUGGUGUCAGAUCCGUGGUGGAAGUACCUUUUGUUAUUUCCUGCAAAAUUAUUUCAGUAGCUUUGGACUUUUACUUUUGUCUUCUCAAAACACAAAAUCCAAUAAAGCUGAUACCAAACAGACAUGAUGAGCCCAUGAUUUCAUAAUGAUAACAGUCUCAUUUCCUGUAAUUGAGCAAUCAUAUGCGCCCAGUGGCAGUUCUAUUCAGCAAAACUAAUAAAGCAAGAAAGAAGUUUUGGCGUACGGAUGUGAGAAGAAAAGUUUAGUGCAAUGUCUCAUCAUCCUUUGACACAAACAUAUGGUCUUGUUGACGAUGGAUGCUUCUUGUUCAUUGUACGAUUUGGUGCUGCGUUGGGGAACUAUUUGUAUUGGAAAAAGAAAACCACUUUAAUGUUAUGGUUAGCUAUUGUUUGAUUAUGAAUGAAUGCAUGCCAGCUGAUGACAAAGAAA